CGAGAGGUUAGGAGAAGUGUCUCUUACUGUGUGUAGUUAAACAGACGAGAUUGGUUUGUUGAAGUGUUGCAGUCUGUACCAAUCGUUUGGUAUUAAACCACAUGCUGUGAAUCAAAGAGGCUCCGCCCUCUGAAAAGAUCCCAUAAUGUAAACGAGCGAUCAUUUUGUUAAUGACUGUCAUUUCGGAGCUGCAACGUCGCCAGCGGGCUUUCAUUCAGCUCCGAAUUUGAUUUUUAAUAAAACCUCGGUGGAGGUUAACUUCGUUUUAGCCGCACUCUUCGUAAGAAUUCUCUCCCCCGCGCAGAGCAUAAGACGGAAGGCACAGUGGACUAGAGGCACUGAGAAUCAGAGAAAAGAAGCAGUUUCGUGAAGGCGGGUUUAGAAAGCGAACGUUUCUCGCCUUAUCAAGUUUGAGUCAUGUUCGGCGUUCCGAUGCCUACGUUUCCAGCGGGUUCCCCUUGGAAAAUUGGAGGCUGGAUAACAGAGAGAUUGGCAGAUUUCGGUGGAAAGACACUUACCUCUUCGCGUUCACCGAAAAGAGGCAUUUGACAGUUUCACUGGCAGAGAGUUUCUAGCACAAGGAAGUUUACACAAGAAAUUUAACAUUAGCGGAGACUUGGCAAGUUCUGAUGUUAGUGCCUCAGGGCUGUUUAUUUUUGCAAAAGUAAAGUAUUCAUCAAGGCAUCUGCAGAUACAAUUUUAAACAGUGAGAAAAUAAAAGAGUUAGGGUUCAGAAUUCA
rnacentral:misc_RNA from 1 species